AUUCUAGCACUACAUCACAGUCAGGAGCCAAAUCAUAAGAAUCAUCUAACCUACAAUCCUGCAACAACAUUCAACAAUUCAACAACAGGUAAUGAACCAAUAACCCUCAAGCAAACAAUUCAACACCAGUAUGAAAUUGCAAAUCGAUAAGACCAAUAACUUUUCCAAAAUUCACAUUAGCAAGGCGUUUGAACUCAAGCAAAACUAGUUGCCAUCUUAACCUCAUUUAACUGAAAACAGAUUUAAUUUUCAUCUCAAAAUAACUAACAAAACUGCAUUUACAUUUCACUUUCAUUUUCAACUGAAUUUCGCUCUAACUAACUCCUUAUACUCUAACUGAAAAAUGAAUUUCAUUUGAAUGUGCAUUUCAAUCUCUAACCGAAAUCUGAAUUUCAGAAACUCUAUAUAAUAACAUUUAGUUCACCAAAUCUGGACAUAUAUCACUCUUCACAAAAUUCUGAGAUCCUCUUAUUCAUCCAUUUUUUCACACUCUGCAAGUUUGAUUCAUUCAUUCAAUCACACACAAACUUCGAUUCCCUCACUCUCCCUGAGUUCCUCACAUUCAACCUUUAACCUUCAAACUUCACUCUUCAAUCACUCUCAGUUUUACAAUAAAGGCUCUCCAAUCAACGAAUCCUCACAACAAGCAUGCACGUAGAUUACUGAAGAAAUAAAGUGAAGAAGAAGCAGAGCACUUCAAGAUGCAGAAAAGUGAAGAGGGAGAAGAAGUAGGUUCCAGGGAAAAUAUUACAUUACCAGAAUUGUCAUUCUCCUCUCGUCGGCGAAGCUCUGGUAGGUCCACCUUGGCUCCAUUUUCUUCAAUUUCAGGUUGCCAUCAUGUAGAGCUUUGCCGGAGGAAUAGAAGCCCUCAUGUGAGUGGCUUCAAUUCCUCACAAACUUGAUUUAGUUUUUGUUUAUGUGAAUUAGGUUUCAUGCGUUUUCUGUUUUGAUUCGGUUAUGUGAGUAGGAAUUAGGUUAAUUGGAUGUUGGAUUUGGAUUGUAGGGAAUGAGAUGGUCAUAACGGUAUGAACAAUUUAGGGAUUGGCUCU
rnacentral:lncRNA from 1 species